rnacentral:rRNA from 1 species
GUAGGUGGCAAGCGUUGUCCGGAAUUAUUGGGCGUAAAGCGCGCGCAGGUGGUUCUUUAAGUCUGAUGUGAAAGCCCCCGGCUCAACCGGGGAGGGUCAUUGGAAACUGGGGAACUUGAGUGCAGGAGAGGAAAGUGGAAUUCCACGUGUAGCGGUGAAAUGCGUAGAUAUGUGGAGGAACACCAGUGGCGAAGGCGACUUUCUGGCCUGUAACUGACACUGAGGCGCGAAAGCGUGGGGAGCAAACAGGGAUUAGAUACCCUGGUAGUCCACACCGUAAACGAUGAGUGCUAAGUGUUGGGGGGGUUUCCCGCCCCUCAGUGCUGCAGCUAACGCAUUAAGCACUCCGCCUGGGGAUACGGUCGCAAGACUG